rnacentral:rRNA from 1 species
GACGAACGCUGGCGGCGUGCUUAACACAUGCAAGUCGAACGGAAAGGCCCUGCUUUUGUGGGGUGCUCGAGUGGCGAACGGGUGAGUAACACGUGAGUAACCUGCCCUUGACUUUGGGAUAACUUCAGGAAACUGGGGCUAAUACCGGAUAGGAGCUCCUGCUGCAUGGUGGGGGUUGGAAAGUUUCGGCGGUUGGGGAUGGACUCGCGGCUUAUCAGCUUGUUGGUGGGGUAGUGGCUUACCAAGGCUUUGACGGGUAGCCGGCCUGAGAGGGUGACCGGCCACAUUGGGACUGAGAUACGGCCCAGACUCCUACGGGAGGCAGAAGGGGGGAAUAUUGCACAAGGGGCGGAAGCCUGAUGCAGCAACGCCGCGUGCGGGAGGACGGCCUUCGGGUUGUAAACCGCUUUCGCCUGUGACGAAGCGUGAGUGACGGUAAUGGGUAAAGAAGCACCGGCUAACUACGU